rnacentral:rRNA from 1 species
UAGGGAAUCUUCCACAAUGGACGCAAGUCUGAUGGAGCAACGCCGCGUGAGUGAAGAAGGUUUUCGGAUCGUAAAGCUCUGUUGUUGGUGAAGAAGGAUAGAGGUAGUAACUGGCCUUUAUUUGACGGUAAUCAACCAGAAAGUCACGGCUAACUACGUGCCAGCAGCCGCGGUAAUACGUAGGUGGCAAGCGUUGUCCGGAUUUAUUUGGCGUAAAGCGAGCGCAGGCGGAAGAAUAAGUCUGAUGUGAAAGCCCUCGGCUUAACCGAGGAACUGCAUCGGAAACUGUUUUUCUUGAGUGCAGAAGAGGAGAGUGGAAUUCCAUGUGUAGCGGUGGAAUUCGUAGAUAUAUGGAAGAACAACAGUGGCGAAGGCGACUCUCUGGUCUGCAACUGACGCUGAGGCUCGAAAGCAUGGGUAGCGAACAGG